CCCGCGACCCCCUGCCCCGCGCCGCGACCCCACGCCCCGCGACCGCCCAGCCCCGCCCCGCACCUUAAGUUGGACCAGGCGAAGUUUAGGGCGAGCUGGAAGCUGGGGUCUGUCUCGUCCUUGAGGCCAGCGACACUCCAGACGAGCUCUGGCAAGUCGCGCUCCUGCUGCAGGUCCAGCCGGCUCCAAGGCUGCCCAUGCCGCGCCAUGCUCCGCGCUCCUGCAGCGCGCGUCUGGCGCUGUUUGCGCGAGAGGUCGGGCUCCUGCGACAGUGGCUUUCUGAGCUGGCGGUUUUCUCGCCAUACUUCGACCUCUCCUGCCAGGCAACUGGCGAACUGGCAGUUAUUCUCACGACAGUUCAACCUCCCGCUUGGCGGGGGCUGGAGCGUGCAUUUUCUGGUCGGUACUUGGAGAGACGAUAAAGGGAGAAGAAAAUGUCAGAGAAAAGAUCAGUGUCACUGGGCAAGCCAUGGCCUGAAUCCUGGCUCUGACAGACCACUUCUAGCCUCUAAGUGGUACUGAGGCUAAAAGUGCUGUGCUCCUCAGGCCUCCCUGUUGACCCCAGUGUUUGCAGACCACUAUAUGUUACCACAAAUUAUUGAAAUAUCUUACACUGGAGGCGGAAAAGAGUCAAGUUAGCAACCCACAGAGAAACGAGAUACUGGAAAGGAAGAUUGGUUACUCAACCCAGUAUAUUUUAAGGGAGAAGAAUGCAUUCAAAUGCAUGACAGUGGUUCAAGCUUUUGUUUCUUCUUUUCCACAAUUAAUUUUUCAGAUAUAUGUCACUCUCACUAUACAAGAAUUGCCUUUGANNNNNNNNNNNNNNNNNNNNNNNNNAAUGACAGGUAACUUCAGAGAUAUUAAAA
rnacentral:lncRNA from 1 species